rnacentral:rRNA from 1 species
UACGAAGGGGGCUAGCGUUGUUCGGAGUUACUGGGCGUAAAGGGCGCGUAGGCGGCGCAUCAAGUCAGGCGUGAAAUCCCUGGGCUCAACCCAGGAAUUGCACUUGAAACUGCAAGCCUUGAGUGUCGGAGAGGAAAGUGGAAUUCCUGGUGUAGAGGUGAAAUUCGUAGAUAUCAGGAGGAACACCGGUGGCGAAGGCGGCUUUCUGGACGACAACUGACGCUGAGACGCGAAAGCGUGGGGAGCAAACAGG